rnacentral:misc_RNA from 1 species
UAAUAAUUUUUUUUGUUUUUGCAUAAUACUUCAUAUUUAUAGAGUUAUAGCAAUUUUAAAACGCAGUCGGACGACUGAUUAUUUAAACGCGACGGAAUUGCCCGAACUCGAAAAUGACGUCAUGAUGUUACUGCCGAAUGCUGCCGAAAGCAUAUAAUACGUAUUGUACAUUCGGUUGAUAUUUAAUAUAGACCGUAAUAUCAUAACAAGAUAUAAACAUGAGCAAGUUGACUGGAUUAAAAAGUUAUCGAUGCUUUUGUACCUUUGUGCAAAAACAUCACGAAAAAUGCAUCCAGUAAAGUGUUUGUGACAGUCUCACGCGAAGAAGUAACGAGAAGAUUAUGGUUUCGAUUGGCACGACGUCCGAAUGACCAACAAAAUCAAAUUAUUUUUGUUGCGAGAAUCAUUUUGUUCUCAAAGAUGACAUAGAUAAUUACAUUCGCUACUCUUUAAUGAGUGGGCCCAUAAAAUUAAAAUCUGGAGUUGUGCCACAUAUUUUUACUUGCCAAUCCAAUAGAAAACGAACUACAGAUCAGUCUCUUAGCGUUGUUUCUGAGAAACGAAGACACAAAGCAGAGAUUGCAGUUAUUUUGGCUACAAGCUCUUUGUUACCUGAUACUACAGUCAAAGAAAAUAUAACACCUAAUAUUCUUACAAAACAACGUUCCAAUCUACAAAGGUCGAAAAUACAAACUUAUUGUUAGAUGACCUUUCCAAUAGUUAUUCCGAUAGUCACACAAUUUAUAAAAGUAUUCAUCAUAAAGGAACACAAGACCUACGAUCUUAUGUCCGCAGUAAAAGUGUAUCGUAAUAUUAAAGUUUCUGUGCCUGACAAGUUUCUGUGUCUACAAGUUCACCAAUUAAGCUUUAUACUUAGAAUCAGAAUAUUACAUUUGACAUCGAUGAAAGUUAACACUCUGACAAAGCAAUCAAACACAGAUAUUUUGACUACUUCGGUAUCAUUUUCCUUACUUCUGACAAUUUCAAGCGAUUAUGAGCCCUAUUCAGAGGAAUCAAG